rnacentral:rRNA from 1 species
UUAAUUGAAGAGUUUGAUCAUGGCUCAGAUUGAACGCUGGCGGCAGGCCUAACACAUGCAAGUCGAACGGUAACAGGAAGUGCUUGCACUUCGCUGACGAGUGGCGGACGGGUGAGUAAUGCUUGGGAACUUGCCUUUGCGAGGGGGAUAACAGUUGGAAACGACUGCUAAUACCGCAUAAUGUCUUCGGACCAAACGGGGCUUAGGCUCCGGCGCAAAGAGAGGCCCAAGUGAGAUUAGCUAGUUGGUGGGGUAAAGGCUCACCAAGGCAACGAUCUCUAGCUGUUCUGAGAGGAAGAUCAGCCACACUGGAA